rnacentral:rRNA from 1 species
CGUGUAGGCGGCAAUUCAAGUCAGCUGUGAAAUCUCCGGGCUUAACUCGGAACGGUAAGCUGAUACUGCUUUGCUAGAGUGCAGAAGGGGCAAUCGGAAUUCUCGGUGUAGCGGUGAAAUGCGUAGAUAUCGAGAGGAACACCUGAGGUGAAGACGGGUUGCUGGGCUGACACUGACGCUGAGUGCGCGAAAGCCAGGGUAGCAAACG